rnacentral:sRNA from 1 species
UCGCUCAAAUUGACAACUUCAAUGGCCAGCAGGGGAUCGGGCAGUACGAGUACGAGUACGAGUACGGGUCCUGGUACUCGAAUUCUGGUCUGGACUGAAAGGAGAACCCGCUGUACUCCGCCUCCGUAGAAACCCCAGCGAAAAUGUCUAAUGAGCUCAGCUCGUCUCGACUCGACUCAACUGACAGACAUUUGUCAUUUGGCCAAAGCUGCAGGCGUGUUUCGAGGCGAAACGAUAAGAAAAGUAUCUACAACACGAACAUCCUGGAACAUCCUUUUAUGCAGAUGACAAAAGAGAAAGUAACAGUUUGGGAGGAGACUGUCAAAGGAGCAUUAUUAAAUGAAACACUUAGACGAUCCCACACUCAAAGUACUCUGCUUAGAAAUCAAUUCCCUUAACCCCCUCCCCUACGCCACCCAGCAAAUGAAACUCUUUCAAUAUUUUUUCCAAGUUUUCCACACACACGCUCGCAUUCAUAAUUUAGGCACUUGUUUCACGCAUAUUUUACUGAAUGGCCAUUCAUAAAAGCGCCCAACUUCCAUUCCACUUCCAUUUUUGGGGGAAAAGAAGCAAAGGAAAACAAAUAAACAGAGGCAAACAAAUGGGCAUCGAGUACCGCCCAUAUGGCGACACUGAAGGAGAUUGAGAGCGAAAGGUCCUUGAAAAGAUGGGGAGAAAGUGAUUCCUGCCGCCCAUCUUUUGGGUGCGGGGCACACACUCGAAUAAAUCCCAACUCAUAACAACGGCAAAUAUGAAGGGCAAACAGUAAACACUAAUGCAAACAAGGGGAAUCAAUAUGCCGGGUUCAGACUGAGGCGGUUUCCCGAUUCUGGCCACCAAUCAUUAAUCAUAACGCAUCAUCAUCAGCCAUGUUGGCGUUUCGCCUUCAAGAACUCCGCCUGGAUGGGUAAAUGGGUGAAACGGUCGAUGGGUGGACGAAUGGGUGACCUGUCACUUUCAGAGAUCCCAGGAGAAGUGGCGAGUCCCUUGCCGUAUAGAGUGUAUUGAUGUGUCGACACAGCCCGUCCCCUGUCCAAAGUGUGAAUAUGACGGACCGGCGUGAUCCAUAAAUCCUUCAACAAACUGCAAAGUUUCACUCUCGAUGUGGAGGUGGAAUGCCAUAGGUGGGUGGCAAAUGAAAUUCCCCCACUGAAGUUAGUCAUGAAUAUGAAGGAGGCCGACGAGAUGCAGCAUCAUCAUCAUCAUCACCAGCAUCACCAUCAGCAUCAGCAUCGCGGAAUACAAUCAGCUUAACUUACAAGCUGCAUAAACAGCCAGCGGAAGCGGCUGAGAGUAAACUCUCGGGCUGCUGUGAUUGCAUUUGUGUCUUGGUUAUAAAUUUUAAUUUUCCCAACCCCACCACCCCCCGCGCAGUUUGAGGAAUUUGCAGGACUUUCAGCGAACACGCGAUUAAUUUGCAAUGAGUUGAAAUUGAAGAUGAUUGCAGUGGAUGCAAGAAAACAGGGGAAUUUCAGAUACCGGAACAUAAUAGGUUCUUUUCAGCCGGGGACCGAUGCAAAUUGGUGGGGCGAAGGCACUGCGACUUGCGACUUACUCCAUCAUAUCCAUAAAAGAUAAUCUCUCGACAAAUUUCCGUUUAUGCCAGAGAAAAGUUUGCGGCCAUAAAAAAUACUUUACGGCAAGACAUUUGUCCGCAACGAGUUUUUAAUAUUUGCUCAAGUUGUCCAGAAGAAAAGGCGCCCAGCCGAAAUGAGUUUCGAUUUCAUCUGGGGGCAAGGACA